GGGGCUGUAGCUCAGAGGCAGAGUGCUCGCCUGGCAUGCGUGAGGCACUGGGUUCGAUCCUCAGCACCACA
rnacentral:tRNA from 1 species